AGACUUGUUUCUCUAUCUGGCAGUAUCACAUGCCCCUUCUUCCCAAUGCAUUCUCUCUCUCCUUCUUUUUUGGACAAUGUUGCUCUGUUCUUACCCCUUGUACAGGAGCGUGUUGAGAUAGCCGGUUCUCUUCUUACCAAGCAGGGAGUCUCGAGCCUCGUUCUCUCGCAUUCUCUGGGUUGCAGUGGUCCGGACGUUUGGUUCUCCUCCUCUUCUCCUCCGUUCCGCGCAAGGAGUAUCGGUCCUCUGUUGCUCGGGUUCUCUUGGUUUCAGUUGUCCAGAUCAGCUGCCAUCCGGUCGGUGCUCCUCCUCCUUCUCCAUCUGGCUCCUGUCUUGCUCUCGGGAGAGGUUCGUUCUUGCCAGCCGUUUGGUUCAUCUCCUCCUCGUUCGUA